GUGAAAGACUGGCAGCACAGUUUUUUGUUCAAAGGAAACUUUGAUUUGAUGGUUAAAGAUUAGACAGCAGGAUCAGCUCUGAAUAUUUUGCUUUCUUGGAGAUGAACUGCUAUUUUUGGAAAGGUGUAACUUGUUUUUGACAAGAAUCCUGCUGAUGUGACCUUAUGUGGCAGAUAGCUGCUUUGGAUAAUAAACCCUGUUGGCAAAGGUGAACAGAAAUUGAUGUAUUACAGUGACAUCUCUUAAACUGUAAGGUAAGAGUCAUAAGGUCAUUAGUCAUCUUCCACUUGUGCGGAAAAUCAAAUAUCUG